AGUUUUCUUUGGAUUAUUGUUUGAGAGCUUAAUGACUGAAUAAAUCAGUAUUAUGGUAUUUCACAAGCAGCAGUAUAAUGUCAGUAUCAAGUCGUGCAUCAGGAGGAACUCAGGACCUACUGCAUCAGCUUAUAUCUGACCACAGGUUCAGGGGUUUCAUCACGAUACCCAAAGCACCGGUACUGGUCCACGGGCUAUAUAUAAUACAUAUAUAUAAUGAUAUGCGCUUGCAACAUUUCCCAAGCAUCUCUCAAGCACAGCAACCCCCCCACUGACGGCCGGCUGAACAUGGAUAUGCCUUCCCCGACAAUCACUGACCCGCCACCACACCGGUCAUGCUAAUUAACGUUGCAGAUAGCAUAACGUUUUCCUUGGUUUCUCCAGACCCUUUAACGUUGUGCUCAGACACACAUCCGCCGACUUGGAGGCGUUUGCCAACUUUUGAGGGGUUAAGAAAUUACCUCAUGCUCCCAGUAGUGAUAAUGACUCUAGCUAAAGCAAACACUAGUGGAAAGCCAGUCCAAGAGAUCAUGAGGGACAGAGGUGUCAAAAGUAUUCACAUUCAUUACUGAAGUAGAAGUACAGAUACUAGGGUUUAAAAAGAGUCCUGUAGAAGUAAGUAUCGACUCAAGCUUUUUACUUAAGUAAAAGUAUAAAAGUACUGGUUUCAAAACUACUUAAAGUAUAAAAGUAAAAGUAAUUUAAGAAAUUCCAUUAAGGACAAAAUCUUAAUGCGUAACCUCGCUCACACAACACUUUUCCCACCCGGUGUCGCUCCGAUCUGCCGGCGCAUCGCGGAGAAAACCAAUCGCGUGUCUGGAUGCUAAAUGUUUAUAUUCUCAUCCAAACACAAUCAAAUUCACUCUGUCCGCAUAGCGCAAUUUAUCUAGAUAGGUUUUUUGUCUUUGUGUUUUUGAACUACGACAAGCCGGAAGUAACGAGGCUGUUUUUAAAAUGUAAGGAGUAGAAAGUACAGAUAUUUGCGUGAAAAUGUAAGGAGUAGAAGUAAAAAGUCAUCUGAAAAAUAAAUACUCCAGUAAAGUAUAGAUACCCAAAAUUUCUACUUAAGUACAGUAACAAAGUAUUUGUACUUCGUUACUUGACACCUGAGCGAGCAACUCAAAUUGGUCUCCACAUGUAAAACCAGUCCUGUUUUUGGGGGUCGUCUCAUUGUUGAUCCUCUGGUGCACCUGUUGUUAAUUCCAUCAACACCAACACAGCUGAAACGGAUUAGCAUCCCCUCUGCUACUUACCUGAACACAUCAUUAUCGGAGAAGUGCAAUUGAAUUCAUUCCCUCAUAAAAUAUUCUUCCUUCAUUUUUUUAAGCAGUUUAUGUUUGUUGAACACUAUGGUUGUAUUCACAAAGUCUAGCUCACACUCAGAGAAUGCCACAGAAACUGUUGCUCAUGACAAUUAUUGUAGAUUUUCCCACAUCGGAGGCUGUAAGUGACCAGAAACAUAACUGAGAAGCCUAUACUUCUCAUUCAUGAGGGCUGGAUAUUACUCAUCAGUCUCAACCUCACACAAUCAUGCAGGCUUUCUGCAGUAUUUAACACAUUUCAAAUUCAAAUCAAUGCGCGAGACUUCUGCCAAAUAUGUUGGAGAAAUACUUAGCGAAGCCAACUCUGCUUUCAGGGACAGAUGCUUGCCAGCCUCAACUGACCUCUUUUAAUGUGCAUGCAGUGCACAUGCAAAGGCGCUCAACCUUCAGUCAUGUCUGUUCUCUAUUCUUUAUUGACAUGUAUCGCCGGUUUGAUUGUGUAUUCAUCUGUUGAAUGGUUUGUUAAAUUGUAAAGUUCUGUCCUUUUAGCCUUUGGUUAAUUCUUUGCAACAACUUUUGAUAGUUCACUUUUUUCUGCAUUAGGGUCCAUCAUGUUAAAAUUAGGUCUCACAAAACAAGUAUAGUAUAAAGGAUGUUUUCUAAAAUGUUGUUCAUGAGAAGAUGUCCACUUAAAAAGGACUUUGGUCCAAUGGCGGUUUUAUGAAUGAUGAAAAUACGCUGUUUAUUUAAAACUGCAUUUCGAUUUAAAUUCUUAAAUUUAACAGCCAAAUUCAGCGACCACACAUAUGCUGAUGUAUUGAGGACAAGGGACCAUUAAUCUCAACAGCACCUGUCAAGGUAAAGAGAGCUUUGGAUUGUGCAGAACACAGGAAUUACUCCCCAUGAAUCUGCACUUCAGUUUGAAAGUCAUUUUAUUUAGUUCUUCCAGCUUUGAUUAUUUAGAUUAAUGAAAACAUUAAGCGUCAUUGCUGACUGGUUUCAGAGGCUGUUAGAUAAUAUAUGAAAAGCAGUUUCUCAAAAGCAUAAUGAUGCAGUUAAGUUCCUUUUCAAAAAUUCGACCUACGAGCGUUCGGAUUGGGAACGUAAUUGAAUUGUGGCUUGGAAAAAAAAAGGCGAAACAUCGGACUUGAUGAAGAAAAAAAAAGAUCACUCCUGUAAUGUGCUUAAUUGUAUCUUGAAAUAUAAUCAAGAAAUACUUACUAAUAUAUACUGAGCUAUUAUGUACAGAUCUCCUUUUAAAAAGUUGACCUAUGGAGUUUUCUUGUUUACAAAAAUGAACAAGAAAACCAGCCGUGGAGAAGAACACAACUAAAAUAAAUACCACUUGUAGUGUAGAGAGGAUCGGUCUGAUUUGCCCCUUUUCAAGGAUGCGACGAGCGAUCCACCUGCAUGACCCAAACUUAGAAAAGAUCCCUGGACUACUGGGAUUAGUUACCAUGGAUACCUCGGCACACACAUUAGAUCCACAAGGUCUGUAUUGACUAUGCAGCUAGAAGCCAUUGUUUCAGCUGUUGUGUAAUCAUCCAUUGUUCUGUUAUCCACGUUAUCAUUAUGCUGCUUCAAAUGAGACAAUCUAGAUCAUUCCUAACCCAUCCCCAGCUCUCAGUCGCCCUUAUCAAAGCGGUCACUGUAGCGAGUGAUCGCCAAGCUCGGGUCAGGAUGAACUCCGACUCUCCAUUUGAAUCCACACUCAUCGUCUGUGGUUCGUCUCGAUGACUCCAUCAAAGGCCCGACAGAACAGAGACAGGCCGCUCUCCAUCACCCGGUGCUCUCCAUCACCCGGUGCUGUGGCGAAAUGAGCUCUCAGAUCUGCUUGUUCAAGGCGAAGGGGUUUUAUGGGCAGUGAUGGGACACGACAGCCCGCCUGUCCCCAGAAACAAAUGGCUCUCAACACACCUCAUUUUCUUGUCUUUUUUAGGAUUAUUGAGAUUUCUUACUCAUCAGACAGCCAUCAAUCACUGCCAGCGCCACUCAGAUGUUAUUUAAGACGUUCAGCUUCACAGUCCAAACUAGUUGCCGAUCCAGUUAUAGGACUCCUAAAAUGUUGAUGAUUUCUCCGAAAAAAGUGCUGACAGUCAACAACGGGUUCUCUGAAUUACAAACACAAUAUUUUCCAAAGCUUGGAGUUUGUAGUACCAAACAGAAGAGGUCCAUUUAGAAUGUUUAGCAGGUUAAGUUAUGGUAUGGCCCUCGGGAGCUGGUGGGGAGCAAAAACAGGCAAAAAGGCUGUGAAUAUUGGAUUUACAUUCAUCAGGUGAAAUCAAAAAUCGAUUUACAAUGAAUCAUAAUCUCGCUCUCUAGCCGGAUGUGUAAGACCCCAAUCAGAAAAAGCGUGUUAGUACCCAAAAUCUCUAAUACCACGUGGACACUCGGUUCUCACUGGAUGUGGACAGGCGGCAAAGUGCCGCCCACACCAGAAGCACAUUUUUCUACACCAGUCAAUAAGCAAUUCUGCUCGCCCGCUGUUUCCUACAGGGCCAAUCCCCGCCCCUCUCCGUCUGUCUGUUCAUUGCUUCGUUUAGAAACAACUCACACAUAUAUGCAAUAAGAACCUCAUUUAUAUAUUGGUUAUUUCUAUCGAGGAAGUAUUGAACGGAUCCUUGAAGACUGCGAGGCUGCGUGUCCUGUGUGAACGGCCCGAUUGGAUUCCAUGUGCGCCGAAAAGGACGUGGGCUGCACCUCGCAAGAAAUAGUGAUGCUUUGACGUGUUAAUAAGGCACUUACAGAGCAUGUCACCCUGCCUGUACGGGCAUCAGAUCAAAAGACUCUCACAUGUCUCUUCUUUUGAAAUUUAAAAAACUUUUGCACUUGUAAAUGUCAAAUAGUGCCCAUUACGCAUACUUGACUAUUAUUAGAUUUCCUUUAUUUCUUUCCUUGCAAGAAUGUGUUGGUCCAGAGGCAUCCAGUCUCUUUCUUUCAUAUUCUGGCUAAACUAGAAGCUUGACGCUUCCCAAAUAUCUGCCAAAAUGGCCUCACUCUCAAGUUGGUAUACUGCAAACAUAUAUUCUAUUCUAACUCAGUAAAAAUUUCUCCUGAAACACUUACAUUAUGUUGUUAUUCUGUUGUGUGCAUGGUUGAGCAACCGGGAAAUAAAUCAACUCAUGCUGCUGUCCAAAGAAUAGAUAAUCCAGAUGUUGUCUGGGAGAUGAAUCCCAUCAUCACUUCAACAGGGUUACAGUGCCAUUUUCGCUCAAUACUGCACACGAAGCACAGCGACUCAUAUAGUGAUGGUGCCCUUAGCCGCUCAUUGCCGUGUUCAUUUUUGUUGGGGAAAGUACAAAAUCCACUCAUACAUAUUAACCCAAUUACAACAGCCAACAACUCCAGGCAAGCACACUUAAACUGAAAAGUGUGACGUUAAUUGCCAUUUAAAUGGGCUCUUUUGCCUCCUAAAUUGUUAGAGUGCUUAUAUUCUCUUUAACAAGAUCGGUUGUUUGGAAAAGGGGAAAUGAUUCCAGGGUGAGAUGCUGCUGAGAGAGGAAAGGGCACAAUUAGUUUCUCGAUCAAUUUGCAGGGAAAAGGAGGGCAGAAUCAAUACCUGAUUAUGCAUGAGGACGUCACCGCUUACAUUGAGAUCAAAGCAUCAAUGAUCCAAGCUGAAGCAGCCUUUGAUCCAUUUAUUCAUGAUCCAUAAGUCAUGUGAAGAGGAGAGCGCGGUGAGACACGCCGACAUGUAUACAAAGGGAAAUGUUGCAACAUGAUGUGUAAAUUGAGAUUCAUCUUUACUCCAGAGCCCAUGAAAUCAUGCAGGCUUUUAUUAUCUAUAUUUGUAAUCAAUAAUUUGGAACUUCUUUUUGGACGCACAGGUCCUGUUGGAGAUUUUUGCGUUUGAAAUGCUACGGUUAAAGAGGGAGCGGUUCGGCUUCAUGUAAAUGGAAGCAUCAAAAGGCAGCUGGUUAUAGUGAUGGGUUGAAAGCAAUCAAAAGUAGUGACGUGAUUCAAAUAUUCAUGAGAAACCUUGUCCUUUUAUUUUCAUUUUGUAUUUUGAGGUUGAUUGAUUAAGAUGGAGCCUAACAAAAUUGCUCAUAUCGCAGCAGCGCUGCUUUAAUAACACACAUGAAUCUCAUUGUAAGAGAUAAGAAAGGCGGCACAAAUGAAAUUAGUAACACAUUUUGUCUAACAUUUUGUUUUCCUUUUACUCGCCACUCACCGCCCACUCAGCGGAGUGGAUGAAAUCAAGUGAGUCCCGUGGGUGUGCUUGGCGGAGGGUGGCCGACGUGGUUUUGUCCCGCGUACGGAGGAUGGGAAGUAAGUGAGAUAAAAGAGCGGCGCACCUGGCAGGUCGACGCUCGGACAUCUUUGAUCCGCUGAGGCAAACAUCAAAGACUCUGUUGGGAGCUUUGUGUGGACGCCGGCCCCGCCGAGCACUCGCCGCAAUAAGCACCAAUCCUGCAGCGUAAAGUGCUGCUCAACGGAGGCUUAAGAACCAUGGCUUGGUUGUUUUUUUUUCAGCGGCUGGAAUUACAACCAUUGUGCAGUCUCUCUAAAGCGAGAGUAACUCAAGACGUGAUCAAUCCAGUGAUAAUAAGAGUGACGUCUCGGUGUUAUUACUGAGGCAGUGCUUGUGGACGGCAUGAAAUACCAUCAUGCAUGUUUAUAGUUUGCUGGAGGCCUACAAACUGAAAAGGGACAAAUGGAGGAGUGUUACUGGACGCUCACAAGCGCCUGAUCAUCCUCCAUCUUUUAAGCAAGCAUUGUGUCUGGUGACCUUUUUGGUUUUGUAAAUAAACAAUGCCCACUCUUCACAUUGUGUUACAGAUUGCAGAAAUCUCUACACAAUAAUGUGAACUUGCACAUUUUAUGUUGCGUACAUACAGACGUACGAACAAUACAGUAAGUGUUAUCACAACCACAUUUUUCUAUCUGACACACACAUGCAGACACAGAACUCCAGACUAACUUUUCCAGCAGCAUGCAACUUGGUCGCACCCUUUUUUUUGUUGCAGCCCGGCACGGAUGCUAAAUAGACUCGCUGACCUGUUCUGCGUUUUCACUUCCACCUCCAUUUUCAUUAUCUGGUGCGUCUGAGUAAGAGCCUCCAAUUGUGUUUCGUCUCGUACUCUGCCUUCGUUUUGCUUUAAAACAAUCAGCUGGAGGCCGAUUCCUUUUUGGAACAUGGUCACAGCUAAAAUGAUUGCUUCGGCAAGUCCUGCGCUACUCUCUAAAGUUGGAUGGUUUCCCUUGCUAAAAAAAAUAGUUAGUUUUUGGUUGCCAAAAUCGCAUCCUAGAUUUUCUCCUCAGGAAAAGGCUAGAACUUCUUUUGUAAUAUACGGCUGUGUAAACAGAAUUUACUCAACUUACCUAUUUACGUAUCACACGCUGUGCACCGAGCAGCUGCUUAUAUGAGGCAGACAGAUGUGGUUUAUCAAAAGAAAUAAAAAACGCAAUGUUUGAAACACGAUGAAAUAACUACAUGGUGCAUGUGAGGAGAUGGCAAGGCGUUUUACAAGAGAUUAAAGAAUUCCUGCAGAUUUUUACAAUGAUAAUGACUUAUAGAAAAAAAAGAAAGGGUAUUUUAAAUUUCAUUUGAGUUGCCAUACAUCCUAAAACUACAUUUACAUAUGUUUGGGAGAAAAAACAUUUGUCUCAUCAGCCAUUACAUGUGAUUAGCAUGAUCAAUGAGCUGAUAUCAGUGGUGCGGGUUCUCUCUGAAUUUUAUCUUUCCAUUUAAUCUGUUUGAUUGUUUCUGUUCAAUUUGUUUUGCAUUGUUUUCCCAUCAGUGUGAUGUAAUUGGUUGUGAGAGAGCAGGAAGCUGGUUUACUCGGUGAGCGGCUGGUGUACUAGCAGUGUUGGGGGAGUAGUUUCACUGGAUGUAAUUAAACUAGUAAAUUGGCAAUCCAUUUCCUCUUGAGGCGUUUCCACUAAAUUCAAAUUUAAAUUGUGCUAAUACCUUGAAUCUUUGUUGGCACUCGAUACGUUGAUAACAACUAGCACAUACGGUAUCUGUCAAGAAAAAUAAGGUAUUCAUUUAUUCACAUUAUAUUUUAUUUUAUUCAUUAUAUUUAUUUUUGCUGCGCAUAAGCGAAAAACUGAUGCGUCCAGGACUUAGUGGGUAUUGGGUGAUGAAUAUUGGUGAACACAUGGAGACCCUGAAAUCAAUCAAACAAACAUGUUUAGAUGAUGAGGAUGAUGAGAUUCGAGCAGAAUCCAUACAUUACAUUACAUUACAUUACAUGUCAUUUAGCUGACACUUUUAUCCAAAGCGACUUACAAUAAGUGCAUUCAACCAUAGGGAUACAAACGCAGAAGAACAAGAAAGUGCAAUUUCCUCAAAUAAGUCAAUUUACAAUUUGCUAUAGAUGAGUGGUGUUACAAGUAUAAUUUAAGUGCUACAAUUUGUUAGUCUUUUAGUUGAUGUAGUCUGAAGAGGUCUGUCUUUAGCUUGCUGCGGAAGAUGUGAAGGUUCUCUGCGGUCCUGGUGUCUUCAGAGAGCUCGUUCCACCAUUUUGGAGCAAGGACAGCAAAGAGUCAGAAUCUAGUCGAGUGUUUUGCUCUCAGUGAGGGAGGAACGAGCAGUUUUGCAGAUGCAGAGCGGAGAGUGCAGGUCGGGAUGUCGGCUUUGACCAUGUCCUGGAUGUAAGCUGGACCAGAUCCGUUCACACCAUACAGUGUUGUUUGUGAUAAAAACACAAAACAAAACGAAAAGGUCACCAGAUUGAUCUCGUGUGACAUACACAACAUACAAUAUUUUUCAAAACUCGUAGUAAAAGAAAAGUUUGGAGGCUUUUCUGAAGUUGCUCAAAUGUAAAGAAUUGUAAUUGCCAUUUUUGCAGCUAUUACUUAGAUGCAUUCAUCAUUGGAAUAUUUCUAUCCAUUGUGUGAUGCCAUGUUCUCUGAGGUAAACAGAAUACAUAACAUAUCAAUGUACUGAGGGAUGUUAUGGGAAUGGGAGUGUUGUACAUUUCAUGCAUGCAAAUCAUUUUGGACUGAUAGAAAAUGGUGGUAAUAAUCAGUACAAAAACGCCAGUGAAAGAAACUAUGAGUCACGUGGAGUAAAUGUUCACGUAAAGGCUGUUCUGUACGUGAGAAGCGAGCCCACUCAGUGGUGUACCGAGAGGAGUCCCACCCACCCCCCCCCCCCACUCUGAUGAGCCGCUCAUUGAGCAGCUCAGUAAAAAGGGCUGACAAAUGUCUCCACUAUAAUUGGACAAAUUGAUCAAUGGCAUCAAUAGCAAAUUACAACAUUCAUAAUUGAUCCAUGAACAAAUGCAGUAUGGAUCAUCCGAGCGUUCAAUAGUUGUACCACAAUAUUCAUGUUGCACUGCGCAUAAUCAGAAACUAAUUAAAUCUCAAAGGAGAGGGUCGAUGUUGGAAGUAGCACGAGAACUAUUGAUCGUACCACCACCUUCUCUUUUACUAGUGAUUUAGACUGCACGAUAUGAUACAAGUGUUUGUUUUGAUAAAUCCAUUCCAUCAUCACCAGAUGUUUUUAGGAAGCAGAUAGAGACCACAGCAGGACGAAUGAAAAGUUAAAUGAAAUAACUCUAGGAUACAUGUGUCUGUAUUUCUUGUGUGCAAUAAAUGUAUACCCGUAUCAGUGCUUUUACAGCCUGCACGAGCAAGCUGUGAAAAACAAUUUGCCCUUGGGGUAAAGUAAAAUAUAUGUUUUAUCUAUGGCAUCCUUACAAUGACUCGUCACAUAACUCGCCGUAACUGUGAUUUCAUAUGACUGCGUUUAGCUACUGAGGAAAGUGAAGAGGCUUUUCAAAGCCUUCACAGCACUUGCAAGAGACGGGUGGCUGUCAGAUGAGAGUUCACUCGGCAAAUCAAUACCAAGGACAGCAGGAUGGAUGCUAAUGUCUGAGUGCUAGAACAUUUUCUUCCCAAAACACAGUUGUCGUGGGGUUUCUUUUUGGUUCAACUUCAGAUUGCCCACUCAAGGGUGCAGUUACUGUGAUUUAGCUCGUUUUUUUUUUCAAACUUCAAAUCUAAAAGGUUUUGAUAUGGUAAAGCUUACACUCGCUGGCCAAAUGUGGGUAUUUUUGUUUGGUUCCACUUUAGGAAGUAGGCUUUAACCUAAGCUAUUUUCUAAUCAAAUGAGGAUGGAGUUAAUCACAAUAUACUUGUCAGUAUUAAGUAAUACAAUGCAACAGCACCGGAAAACAUCAACCUUCAAAAUGGCCCCAAAGUAGAAUCAACACCUCCGCAAAACAUUAGAUUUAUUUUACAAUAGCAUUUGACUGAAUUGGGUUUUCUUAACUGUAUCUAAUAAACUGGCAAAUUAAGUGUAUGGUGCAGAGGAAAGGUCGGCUUCAGGCCAUUGCAUGGUGGCGGUAAAAGAAUUGCUAAAAAAACAAGUCUCAUCUCCCACAAUGGGAAAAGGUUAAAAUCCAUUUAUAGCAGAAAUAUGGCUUGUGUCAUUUGAAGCGGUCCCUCUCCUCCAUUCUCCUCUUUGCUGCUGACCUUUUUCUACUGUCCGCGUCUCAGUGCAGGUGGAGUAUUCGUCUCUUCCCAGAUGAGGCCGACCGAGGAAGUGAAUCAAUGUGUUUUUUCCCCUAGUCAUAGGAAACAGCUGUUGUGCUGUCGGCUACUGCAGCGCUGGGCUGACUUAAUGCCAGAGCCGGCAGAGGGAGAGUCAGCGGGGAGGAAAGAGCCCCUCCCCCCGGCCCCCUGCAUCCGCUUGUUCUAAACCCAUCACCUGAGUGGAUACCACUUGCCAUGCCUCCCGGCCACACUCAGAGCACAGGGAUAUAAACAAAGAACCAGCUAUGCUCCAGCAGGGCAUCUUCCUGGCACUGUUGCAAUAUUUCACAAUAUCGGUCCUAAUUAACAGUAUCACUUUUAUAUGUCCUUGGAAUAUUGUAACUUUCUUUCGUGCAAAUGUUGAAGGUUACGGUUGCAGGUGAAUGAUCUGAUUUAAUGAAAUGCUUUCAAGUCUGUCUGUUCAUAUGAAUGCAGAGAGGGGUGGUGGUUGACAAUGAAUUAUAUUAUCUUGAGGAGAACGAAAUGCUUCAAAAUGAAUAAAUACAGAGAAGCUGAGCAGCGAGGUUCCCGUGCAAACCUUCAGCAUGUUUCAUAAACAGGAACUGACCGUAUCUCCCAGGGACAAAACCUUAUCUACCACAUGUACCGCCAGCGUGCAGAAUAGGAGAGGUUCUUUGUGCCAAAUGCUGCAGGGCAGAGCCAGUACGUCUCUCCCGGAGCAGUCCACCCCCUUUUUUCUCAAGCCACGGCUUUACAAACCAAUAAUCAGACAGGGAUGCAGAAAAGUACACACAGAAAGACACUUACCUCCUCUGUGUUCAACACCUCCUUCACGUUGCUCUUUGCCGGUCCCCUCCAUCCCCCAGUAGAUGCCUUUCUACGAGUCUGGAGGUGAUGUCUGAGAUUGUAUCCAGACUACAUCCUGUAGGAGACAGUGAAAUACUGUCAAUCAUGAAAAUGUAUGCAUGUGUACUUAUUUGCUCUAAUUAAAGAAAUGGGGCGUUGGUGUGUGUGUGUGUGUGUGUGUGUGUGUGUGUGUGUGUGUGUGUGUGUGUGUGUGUGUGUGUGCGCGUGUACAUGUGUACAUGGGCAUGAUCUGCAUGUACAGUAGGUGUGUGUGUGUGUGUAUGUGUGUGUCUGUGCGCGUGUACAUGGGCAUGAUCUGCAUGUACAGAAGGUGUGUGUGUGUGCAGAAUACAGGACACACAUCUGUGCAAAGUUCGGAGACCAGUGGAGGCCAGUGGAGGUCAGUGGAGACCAGUAGAGACCAGUGGAGGUCAGUGGAGGUCAGUGGAGACCAGUAGAGACCAGUGGAGGCCAGUGGAGGCCAGUGGAGGUCAGUGGAGACCAGUAGAGACCAGUGGAGGUCAGUGGAGACCCGUGGAGACCAGUGGAAGUCAGUGGAAGCCAGUGGAGGUCAGUGGAGGCCAGUGGAGACCAGUGGAGGCCCGUGGAGACCAGUGGAAGCCAGUGGAGACCAGUGGAGGUCAGUGGAGGUCAGUGGAGGCCAGUGCAGACCAGUGGAGGUCAGUGGAGGUCAGUGGAGACCAGUGGAAGCCAGUGAAGACCAGUGGAAGACACCUUCUCCAUAUUUAUGAGUUUCCUAUGUGACCCUCGACUGUAAACAAAGCAUAUUUAACAUGGAUACUUGGAUACACAGAAACUUAAUGAACACAUGCACAUAUUACUCACAGCGCAAUAGGAUCAAUAGGACUUUCAUCAAGUAUUUAUUGAAGUAAUAUUCCUGGGCCCUUCAAACUUAAACGACUGUGCUGCGUGGGGUUUUAACAGAGGACCUGUGUGGCCUCAGAGCCGGGCUGAACACAGCAACUCUUUGCAAUAUCACAAUAUGAAUCCUGGACUCUACUAAAAGUAUUAAGUCCAUCGAUCAUCCUUGAGCCAGGUGGAUUGAAUCAUUACUAAACUAAUACUUUAAAGGGAGCCCUGUUUCCGUUAACAGUUAUUGCAAUAGCAGUGACAUAUACUUACUACUAACUUUCUCUUCUAAUGGUUACAAUAUUUGGUCCCAAAAAAUUACCGAUCGUUCAGUGUUAAUCAAGUAUGUGUAGAGAGCCAGUUUGUGACUAUCUUGGACUGUAGUCUGGAGAUGAGACAGCGGGAUGAUCCACAGAAGUGGUUAUAAAGAUCACACCCCCCCCGAGACCCCUCGUCUCUUUUCAGGUGGAAGAAGCAAACCAGCUGACAGGUUCCAAAUGCUGUCUGGACAUUUUUGGGGGAAGAAAUGACCGACUACCACAGCUGUCUCGGACUCCAACACACCCUCCGCAACCACCCAUCUGCUACAGGUAAGACCCUACUUCCUGUUCCUUCCUGCAAAGGCCAGCAAAUAGCUUCUCUUUAACGGAUGUCAGAGACCCUGAGACACACCACGGGAAGUGGAAUUAAGCUCUCUAUGACUGCCUACCUUUAACUAACUUUCAGGUAAUUUGGCUUCAAUUAAGUCGUUAAACCAUUUUGUAUGCCAGCAAACUGCAGUUGUACCCCUUCAUACUGUCUUAGCUUGAGUACAAAUAGCUAUUGGGCUCCCUCUAUUGGCCUUCAUGCAUCAAUCUGCAUGCUGUCCAGUAGCAUGUUCAAAGAGUGAAAGGGAAAGUAAUGGACUUUCUCAGACUUUCUAUGAUGCGGCAUUGAUAACUGCAAAAAUGGGUUGGGUCCAGAGAUGUUAUUAUGAUCAGUGGCUAAGAAAACCCAGGCAAAAAGCCGUCACAUUAUAGGCUGCAUAUAAAGGGCUUUUCCUCCCUGGGUUAAGAUGUUAAGACAUGACACUUUUACUCUGAUAAACUAUUGUUUGUUUGACACUAGCUGGCCUUUGUGCUGACGAGGUAACACACGCGCGCUGAUGAUUAAACAUUGUUUGACCACCUGAACUGAUUGUUGUGUCUCCUUUUAAUUAGACUAUCCAAUUUCAUAAGUAAUUAUUGUUGCAAAAGAGAAAACUUCUAAAACAUAUUUCCCCUGUGAUGAAUUAUUCAUAGACUAAAGCAGCCAAACCCCAAUAAUCCAUCAACAUCCUGGUGAAAUACAUAAACAAAAUGUAAAUCAUAAAUUUAGUCAUUUAGUGUACAGACUGUUAAACAGGAUGUUUAUUAUUUCAAAGUGGUUGAGGGGAAACAAAUAUGGCUCAAACCUCUACCUCCAGCUGAAAGUACUCGGUUUGUUUUCUGGUACAGCACAUCGCUGACAGAGAACGGGCAGUAUUGAGUAAGGCUCUUAUUGGAUGUAAUUUAUAACGCAUGUCAUGGAAGAACUUGUUGCAGAAUCUAAAGUUACACAGAUGUCAUUAAGAUGACGAUUUUAUCCAAUGCGACUUGCAUUGUAUUUUGAACCCAAAAGAAUCAGACGCCCAACGUGGGGCUCGAACCCACGACCCUGAGAUUAAGAGUCUCAUGCUCUACCGACUGAGCUAGCCGGGCGAUUGACGUUGUCGGUGAAACCACGUCUCAAAUAACGUAAGUAUUCCUUCCAAAGACGAAAUGUAGGAGUUGGGCUCCAGACAGGUGAACAAUCAGCACAUCUACCCUGUCAUAAUUAGAGAUUAUUACCUAAAACAAGGGUGCUCACACUUUUCGGCCGAUGGGGGGUUUAUCGGGCGAACGAGAAGCCAGAAAGAGGAAACACAAGCAUUCCAGACAAUGUUGGUCAUUACCUUACUUGAUGUCUUGGAGUCAUCGAGUAAUGCACUGAUUGCAGUCAGCCAGGGCUGCUUUUGAAUGAAAUUAAGUUAGUUAGCGAACAACGGUCGCUAAUUAGCAUUAGCAUCAGCGGUCGACCGCGCAUGCGCGACGUGAAGUGAUUUUUUUUAUCGAUGGCAGGAUCCCUACUGGCACUGACUUGUCGAUUGAGCUAUUGGGAACCCAUGAGCCCGGUUAGCCUCCCAACCCAGCCACAAAAAUGCAUAAGAUCCAAAAAAUACACAAAAUCAGUGUCCAGGUUUGUCAUGAUAGGCCUGAGUGUCUUUUGAACCCCAUAGUGGAAUGUUUUAUUUUCCAUACAAAUUACUUUAUCAAUGGCAUCUUCUAUUCUCCCUUUUUAUUUCCUGGCCUGACUGGAUAGGUAACAGAGGGGUUGGUCUUCAAAACUACAGGCUUCAUCAGCCACAUUGAUUAACAUUCCAACACUAGAAAUUAAACUGAGUCCCAAGAGUGAGAACGUUUCUUUGAAGUAAGUUUUCCCCACCCAAUGGGAUUAGUCGCCUCCCCAUUAGCAAGAUACAAAGCACCUUCUUCCCAUGGUUGAGGUACUACCUUGGAGCCUUUCAAUUCCAUCCCGAGAUAUUCGUGAAUUGAAACCUAUGAGCUCCUGUUGUACUUCCAUGUGAAUUGGCUCCGUCAUGAAUCAGAUUUUUGAUAGAAGGGAGGUUUCUGCAUGUUUCACUUCCUCUCCCAUAAUAAUUUUUAUCCCUUGCACUAUUUUAUCCAUUUCCUAUUCCCUAGAUUCUUUAUGGGAGGUAAUCUUAGUGAAAGGUUGGCGAUGAUUGUCACUUAUUUUCCCUCCCAGACCUUUGCUUUGUUCAUUCGCAGAAUAAUGACUUAUUUUCUUUUAUGGCUCGUCCAUGUUGGUUCCUUUCUUCAUGCAUUCAGUCCCAAACCUUCCGGGUUUUUACUGCAAUGUGUGAGUGAUGGACAUCUUCAGUUUCCCAAGCUAAAGAUUGUUUGAUAAUUGAUCGAUUGAACGUAUCCAUGUGAGGAGAAUAUGUGGGACCCAGACGACCAUGGACAUGAGGUGUCACUAAUUGAGGUUGACUAGGACAUGUCCAUAUAAGUGAUGCACCCUGGGAGAUGCAUGAUUGUUUGUGUCACAGCCAUAUCGCUUCAAAUUGCUUCACACUUUAUAAAGGAACACAACUCAAGUGUGGUUGACGCAGUCCAAUGUCUCAAGGUGUCACUCCAAAUGACAAGAUUAUUUGCACUCCCUGGUGACCCCAAAACAUAACAAAGGUGCUUAUGUAACACCUUGACAAAUAAUCUAUAGAAUCCAGAUUAAGAUUGGAUUGGAUGUCAGCGUGAUUAUUUGGCUCUUGUGACAAGUUACAGAGCCACUUCUUUCCUUCUCUUAAGCUUGAGAGACACCUGCAGGAACAAACUGAUGCUGGGCAAGUUUAUUCAGGGCAUUUGUGUUCAUGUCGGAAAAGUACAUUAAACAACACCGGUGAUAGUCUCUUAUCCCAAACAAAGUGGUUUGAUGCUCUGUCAACAGCGUGGCUGCUACUGAAAGAGCCACUGACAUUUCAGAUGGGACAUAUGUUAACCUCCAAUAUUCAUCCUCUUAAAUAUUUAUGAUGUAUGUAUGUGUGGGGAACCAGAGGUAAAGGGAGCAGGCAGAUGUGUUUGGAGACCUCAUAAAUAAUUGGACGUGUAAAGGUUACAUUUAGCAUCAGCUGGAUUGAGAAAGACAAGAUAAAUGUGGCUUCCAAAUUGGCAGGGGCCCAUUUGUAACCACGACCAUGAAGACACAAACCGCGUUCGCACCGAUGCAUGUUUAUGCACUCUCACACACUAAUGCAGAAUGACCUGCAUGCAACAGAAUGACCCAAUGUUUCACUUGUGGUUUAAUCACGAGUGUAUCAUUUGUGAGUAUUAUUAUUACACAAAAGUAUACCAUGCAACAAUAAAUACUGUCAUACAUACAUAACAUAACACAAUAAAUCAGGAAAGGCUUUUUUGUUUUAAACUCACCGCGCAUAGAUACGGACGUGUCUGGAUAAUUUUUGAAUGCAUCUGAGAUACAAUAUCUUUGGGUUAAUCAUUCUAAAAUUCUGAAUAAGAGUAUUCACAAGGGAACCUUUUGCUCAACUAACCUCAUUUGUAAGCAGUGGAAACCUGUAUAAUUUAUCUGUUGAAAUUAAAAAGUUUCAUUGGUGCAUGCCUCAUUAAUAUUAAAAAUGAUGACUAAUUUCACUUUAUUUGCACACAACAGAGAUACCGUAAUGUAUUUUAUCAUGGAAAACAUAUUUUUUAGCGCUUUAGAGCAUUUUACUGUGCUGCCAUAUUUUGCCACAUUAUCAAUCAAACUGAUCCAAAAGUUUGGACUUUCAAAAAAAGAAAUGUAGAAGCCUUUUAUUUUAUAUAGUAAUACAAUUAGCAAUGCUAAGAAGGACAAAUAACUUACUCCAACACUUUGGCUGGCUCUUUAGAAGAAAUGAAAAGGCGGGAGCUGAUGGAGCGAUGUCUUUAAUGAGGUAUUCUGGAGCUGUUGUCUCUCCAUUUAAUUAGAUAAUUAUGCAGCCUCUUACGGAAGAGGGAGCAUCAGGGGUCACGGGGGACGGGGAAAGCGAUGCCACAAUGCCACCCUGUCACAUACAGAAGUAAGGAGGGUAAAUCACAGGUGAGUCCCUCUGGGGCGAGCACAGACCCGGCUCUCCACUUGGGAGCCAUUAAACGCUCGUCCUAUUUAAAUUCAGUUCAACCGUCUUUGUCCAUCUUCUGUUUUUGAUUAGGCUGGUAAUUACCAUUCCACAAAGAAAUCAGCGGGCACCAACACUGCUGCAGUACGCUGGUGCCGAGUGGCCUUUUGCUCAACAUUUGAAGAAACACUGAAAAUACGAGGCGUGGACCGCUGAGAAACCAGGAUGACUGUGGAACCUUGUGCCGUAAUCAAGGACUUCUACAUGCAGGGUAUUGGGAGCUGCAGUAAUAUUUCAUCCCACCAAUGUCUCAUUUUGCACCAGAGAAUUGUAAUUAUAGAUUCACUGCCAUCUGGUAUCCGUGUUUGUCUCUGCCCAUUCGUCACUGGUGCCAGAGCAGAUUCCAGUUUCUUCCAUGGUGAAUGGCUUUAACCUCAUAUCGGCUGUCCAUGUGCGCGUGUCACUACGCUACACGCUUAGACAAGCAACGCCCAAAGCACUGCACAGAGGGUUUAGGAUACAAGUGAAGUGAAGGUUGAGGUAGCACAGAUUCACCUCUGAAGAGGGUCCAUAACUCACAUAGAUGAAUGUCUUCUUUUUUUUUUUUUAUUAAUUUUUGUGACGUAUGGACUGCUUCUCAACGCAGUAGUGUUUGUACAUAUGUCAGCACAAAUGAAUGUCCACCAUUUCCAGUUUUUUGUCUUUUUUUUACUCUUGCAUAAAUCAUCUAUUAUAAGGGGAAUUAUUUCUAAUUUUACAUUUUGUAAAAUACAUUCAAUUGUUGGUUAGCGUAUUAUCAUAAAGACCAGAAACUGGAAAACAACUAUGCUUGUUCUAUCUAAAGAUUUUUUUUAAAACCUGCAGGCACCUAUUAAUCUAAUUAACAGUAACACUGUCUUUGUGCUAAGCGGUUGAUGUAUUAGACAGAUGCGGUAAGGAUAGUUUAAUUCAACAAUCGCAAAUAAGCUCAUUUCCAAAAAUGUUAAACUGUUCCUUUAAGGACCACAGAGCAGCACAAAACUUCUAGCAGUGCAUAAAGUCCCUUUGAGCGACAGUUUUAUAAGAAAAGUGGAAAAAAUCACAGAAAGCUCUUACAUACAAAGUGUAAAUCUGCUGCAUUUUGCUCCUACUAUAUGUGCACCGACUUAGAAAACCACAGCUGGUCCUUGUCCAUCCAACAUAAAUCAUCAUCAGCCUCCAAUCUUUGCCCGUACAUAUUCAUGUGCAAUUUGGAAAAUGAGCAACAUUUCCCAGGGAAGUAAUCGCCUAGCAGAGAGCCUGACUGUGCAUCAUUUCUCACGGCUACCGGGGUAAACACACAAUAUCCCAGCAUGAAAGACAGUCACUCUGUGAUGUCUGCAAGCAGCUCUAUAAGACAAUGAAUCCAUAUUUAAUGCUGGUUCAACCCCAGUUCAGGCCCGAGAUUAAUAAUUGCGCACCCCCAGCAUGACCUAUCCAUUAGUGUGCAGCUAGAGGCUGCGUGGCUCAGCGCUCUUGUAUUAAAACAUACUGCAAGGAAUUGCCUCCAAGUGCCACAUCUCGAGCCAGCUGCCACUAAGGACACACAUUUUGAAUAGGCACAGUGUGGUGGUGGUAUCACUUAGACCAACCGUUAUGUGACACCCAGGCAAAGAUAAGUCUGUGUAUCUACCCAGCUGCUGCUCUCAGGGAUCCAUUUCACAUAAUAAUCAAGCUGGGGACUUUAUUAAAUAGUUGCAUAAACAAAAAUAGAGGGAAGAGGCAACAUGAGAUGAGGUGGUGUUUCAUUUUAAAAGGAUCAAGUCGGUGUGACAGGCAUCGCAAGCCUGUCGUUUUGUUCAGAGUGAGUUUGAGCAUAAAAAAAACUAAUUUCAAGUUUGAAGACCACAACAAAGGAGAUUCAAUGGAAAUAUAAAACAACCAAGAAUCGCUUUUAAUAUGAAACAUAACUCCACCACGCACAUGAAAACAGUGGGAAACAAGGUAUACAUAGUGGUCUCCCUGACGGUUUAACCUUCUAUUUAGAAUUAUGUUGUCAGUAUUGCUCAGUUGACAUACAACAAACAAAGGUAAACAGUAUGUUCAAGACUCAUUGGUUGUUUUUUUCCAAGCAAUAAUGCAUAAAACAAAGUUAGCUAUGUCCUUUCUAACCGCCUCGCCCUAUUUAAACCUUGCUGCGCUGUUGACAAUACGUGAGAGGGGGCGUGUAAUCAUGUGUCCACAGCUGGAUGAAAUGGGUCUUACAUUUUCUACACUGCAAAUAAAACUAGGACCUGAUGCAAACCCCCCAGGAUGCAGACUGAGACGAAAGACCACUAGCUGCAAGGAUUAGACAGCUAGAAUGUCUCUACUUCCCUCUUCUUCAAGGAACCACUUCAAUCAGCAGCAAACCACUCCAUGUCAUCAUGUUCCUCGAUCGAAACUUUUUUUUUGUAUGUUGUCUGUUUGGGGGGCUAUUUUCACAUAGUUAACAAAGUUAAGUUGAAUUGGCAACACUGGUUGUAUCUAAAAAAUGCUAAUACAUGUCAAAUGAAAUAUAGCUAUUAAUGCACAUUUCAACGACAGAUAUGGUCUGAACUUUAAGUAAAGUUCUGUGGUGUCUGCCAAUGUAAAGUUUUAUUUGCCAAGGGCUCUGCGGGGAUUCAUCAAUUGUUAAGUUUGUGGAUGAGCUUUUAGCAAAAAAUGCACACAUUAGUGAAGGAUAAGGGUAAAUGCACACACCGAAUAAACAUAGUUGAUGUAGUUCACUGCUCAAGAACAUCUACAGUCUAUUUCUCCCUGGUUUGUGUUGGUGUCGAUCCAUUAGGACCCGUUUGAAUCACGUGUAUUUUUAAAGCAGUCCAUCAGCCUCCUAAGAGAAAGGGUUGUUAUUCCACUCACGUAGGAUUCAAAGAUUCACAUCCCACGGGUAUUUGGGUGGAUAGUUGGAGGAUAGUUUUGAGGUUUGCACAUUUACUUUGAGCAUGUAUGUGAACUACAAACCCACACAACAGCAAUAGUUCACAAUAGUGCAUUAGGUGUUGUCGAGAAAAAAAAAAAAUGUUUGCCAAUGAGCGUACGCAUACGCAGGACAAAGGGACCUGCAAGCCCACGUCCCGGCUCAAUGGCGCCGUGUCGACCUUCUCUCUGCUCACAGCUCAAGGUUCCCUGGGACUCCGCACUGAAGACGGUGCUGCCUCAGCUCUCCGUCCCACAAUCUGCAAAUGCUGCCCCCGACCUCCCAGGGCUCAACCUGUCAACCCGCCCACCCCCCCAGACCCUUGCUGCAGUGCAGCAGAGUGGGGAUGGAAGGGGUAUAGAGAAAAGGAAAGAAAGAUUACAACAACAAAAAAAAAGAAAAGAAAGAUGAGCACAGCAGGAAUUGGCUGUGGAGCAAAAGAGCAAAAAACAAUUUAAAGUUGUAGGAAUGGAAAAUGGCGCAGCGCUGGAGAUUGAAAGGCCUCUUCCUCUAAUUAACGCAGUAUUCAUCACCGCAGAGGGCAGACGCUCACAUCACUUUCCAUUCACUUCCUCACCCUUGGCUGCAGGUCAAAGGAAAAGGCAAUUUCCCCUCAGCCCAUGUACACGCUGCUCCAUUCCUCAUGGAUAAACUGUACUUUUGAAACGCUUAGAAGUGAGGGCAUUCAUCAC
ensembl:lncRNA